rnacentral:rRNA from 1 species
AUGAGUCUGUUAUGCUGGAACUGUCGAGGCUUGGGGUCGGACUCGACGGUUGGCGAGCUUCGCUGGUUAGUUAAGCUUCACCGCCCCACCCUCCUCUUUCUCUCUGAGGCAAAGAUGAGGGAUUCACGUGUCAGAAACUUUAUGUGGUCUCUAGGUUUUACCGGGUGUUUGGCCGUUAAUUCCGACGGCUUGAGUGGUGGUUUGGCUCUGUUUUGGACGGCGUCUGUUAAUGUUUCUCUCAAGGGGAGCAAUGCUCGAUGUAUUGAUGUUCUUGUUACUUCGGAGGCGGGCUCAACUUGGCGUGCUACCUUUGUGUACGGCGAACCGAGGAGAGAGAGGAUAGGCCACAAUUCUGGGAGUUGCUGA